UUCCAGAGUAGGCCGUGGAAGAACUGUUCCU
rnacentral:piRNA from 1 species